UUAGGUCUUCUCUCCAAUCCAACACAUUCUUUUCAUAAUCACAUUUUACAAAUCAGAGUAAAGGGUUUGCCUCCAUUACCAACUACAAAAGAAGAGGUUUUGAUAUCACAAAAGCAUGCAAGGUUGUCUAAUUCUAUAUACAGAUCUUGUAAAUCUUAUGAUUUAUUCAUUGUAGACUACAUAUUCAAUCAGUUUUUCGCAAAUUUAGAAACACCCAGAAUCAAAAGAUCAUUCUAACACAGAAUAAUCCAUAGCAUAAACUCAUGGUUGAAUAGUAGAAGGCAAGCUACAAGUAAUCCAAGAAAAAUGGGAGCAAGUUCUAAUGCAGUUUCAUCCCUUUAGGGAGCCUACUUGAAGGAACAACAAUUCCUGGAUCAAGAGAAGGAAGACAAUGAGAUUGGGUUGGGCAACAGAGCUCUAGGUUUGUGACAAAACCAGACCCCAAGGCUUGAGUAUAUCAUUAGAUUUUGGGGAUCAAUGAGGAGAUACAUAUCAAGCUAAAUACUGAACUGGGGUUCCUUGAAGAAGGGGCUUAAAGAAAGUGAUGGCAUUAAAUCAAGUGUGCAGAAAACUACAGACAUUCUCUGAUUGCUAAGGUAAUCAACUCUUGUUAAGCUGUGGAUGUAGAACUCCAUCUCCUACAACCAAAAGGGUGGAGGGUGAGAUGAGGUGCAGCGUAGUCUGGUCAAAUCUGUUCUGGGUGCAGAGGGCCAUAUUUUCUACUCUUUUUUAAGUCCUAGCAGCUCUUCCUUCUAAUUCACUGCCGGAAUCCAUCAGAGCUCAAAUAACCCCAGUCCACUCUAGCUUCCAACUCUCUUCAGCAUUCAGCUUGGCAAAACCCCGCUCUAGCACUACUCUUAGAACAGUGUUCCAACUUAGAAAUAUGUAGUAGACCUUGUCUCCUAAGGUCAUCGCCAACCUUUCACGUUGUUUCUGCCUCAGAGACCACUCACAUAUCACAAGAAGAUAAGAAAAUGGGAUAUCAAGUAGAGUUACUUCUAAGGGAGAUAAAAUUUAAAACUAGAAAAUCAAGUCCACCUUCUUUCAUAUAAAUACCGAUAUUUGGCAUCCCAUUUUAUAAAAGAAAAAAAAAAUCAGUCCAAUUUUUUCCUUUCACUUACUAUUUUCACAUUUCAAAGUAACUAAGAAAAUCAGCUGCAUACCAUCAAACAGCUUUGCAUUGCAUUGUACCUAAAAACUGCACUUCCAUCUAUCAACUCAGUUUCAUUGAUGCAAACUUUGUUGCCACAUCCAUGGCCUCCUUCACGAGUGAUUGAUGAGGAUGAAUCUUCAAGAUAUAUAUCAAGAAAUGGAAUUAGUAUUAGUUGUAAUUAAAGUAGG
rnacentral:lncRNA from 1 species